UACGUAGGGUGCGAGCGUUAUUCGGAAUUACUGGGCGUAAAGCGUGCGCAGGCGGUUUUGUAAGUCUGACGUGAAAUCCCCGGGCUUAACCUGGGAAUUGCGUUGGAGACUGCAAGGCUGGAGUCUGGCAGAGGGGGGUAGAAUUCCACGUGUAGCAGUGAAAUGCGUAGAGAUGUGGAGGAACACCGAUGGCGAAGGCAGCCCCCUGGGUCAAGACUGACGCUCAUGCACGAAAGCGUGGGGAGCAAACAGG
rnacentral:rRNA from 1 species